GACGAACGCUGGCGGCGUGCUUAACACAUGCAAGUCGAACGGAAAGGCCCUGCUUUUGUGGGGUGCUCGAGUGGCGAACGGGUGAGUAACACGUAAGUAACCUGCCCUUGACUUUGGGAUAACUUCAGGAAACUGGGGCUAAUACCGGAUAGGAGCUCCUGCUGCAUGGUGGGGGUUGGAAAGUUUCGGCGGUUGGGGAUGGACUCGCGGCUUAUCAGCUUGUUGGUGGGGUAGUGGCUUACCAAGGCUUUGACGGGUAGCCGGCCUGAGAGGGUGACCGGCCACAUUGGGACUGAGAUACGGCCCAGACUCCUACGGGAGGCAGCAGUGGGGAAUAUUGCAUAAUGGGCGGAAGCCUGAUGCAGCAACGCCGCGUGCGGGAUGACGGCCUUCGGGUUGUAAACCGCUUUCGCCUGUGACGAAGCGUGAGUGACGGUAAUGGGUAAAGAAGCACCGGCUAACUACGUG
rnacentral:rRNA from 1 species